rnacentral:rRNA from 1 species
UACGUGAGGGGCUAGCGUUGUCCGGAUUUAUUGGGCGUAAAGAGCUCGUAGGCGGUGUGUCGCGUCGGCCGUGAAAACCUGCAGCUUAACUGUGGCUUGCGGUCGAUACGGGCAUCACUGGAGUUCGGCAGGGGAGACUGGAAUUCCUGGUGUAGCGGUGAAAUGCGCAGAUAUCAGGAGGAACACCGGUGGCGAAGGCGGGUCUCUGGGCCGAUACUGACGCUGAGGAGCGAAAGCGUGGGAGCGAACAGG